rnacentral:lncRNA from 1 species
GAACUACUCUUCAAAAUUCCAAAACUUAAACACAUAUAUUUGCUUGUAACAAUCCAUCUCGUCAUGAAAUAAAAAUUCCAAAACGGAUUGUAAACAUUAUGACAUUACCCAUAAGUUUAUAUAAUGUAACACUCAUCUCUAGAACCAAACCAAAGAAACAAAAAUAAGUAUAUAAAUAAAUAAUCAUGUGUUUCAUGUUGUCCAAUUUACAAUAGAAACCAGCAUUAUUUCAAACAUAAUCAAUUUAAUCAUUUAAAAUACAUACAUGAAUAUAUAUACAUACAUGAAUAUAUAUACAUACAUGAAUAUAUAUACAUACACAUCUUAAAUCUAAUUUUCUUUCUACCAUAACCGCAAGAAGUUAUGCUUCUAGUUUUUAUGUAAAAAAAAAAGAAGCUCUUCAAUGCCCUAAAAGCAAGGAACAUAAGAGAAAUACACUAACGAAUGAAAAUUAUAUCAUCUACCGCGUUGUCGAUGAAGAAGACAUCGUUCAUCCAUUUGGACGCGGAGCUUGUUUUCGAGACCUCCUCGUCGUCGUCGGCGUCUCAGUUGCAGAGAAAAUUUACGCCGAGCGAUGAAUU